ACAGCCAGUUUUACUGUUGCUUUUUUUAAUCUCUGCAGAUGACAACCCAAAGAAAAGAUUCAAAAAGGAGGUGAACCUACCUGUACCUCCACUUUUAUCAGUCUGUUUUUACACAAGUGUCUAUACUUUUAAUUAAGUGCACAGUACUUUUGCCACCUGUGGCAGCGUCUGGGGGCACCUAGGCCUAAAUUGCAUAAGACUUAUUUGGCACAUCAUGUGUUGCUCAAAACCUCAAGCAGAAUCUCUCAUUGCAUUGUGGCCAAUGGUACACUGGGUAUUGCACACGUUAGUAUUGCAAAAUAGGGAUAAAUAUUCCUUGCGGCAAAUGGUGGAUGGGUUAUCUUGCAUGCUUCUUGGGAGCUAGUUGCAGAGGCCAUAGAUAUAUAACAGAUAGUGUUUGGCUUCUUCAUUUUAACUCAUUUAAUUUUUGAUCGAUUUUGACAUGGAUUGGGUUGUUACAAACAUCAGAUGUGCAGCUAUGAUGCAAGCUAUCUGUCAAUUUAUAAUUGGGAUUUUAACUAAGAUACCAUCGCAGGACUGCCACUUCAACGGGGCAGUAAAGGCUGUAUGUAUUGUUAUCUAUGCAGAGGGUCAUCUGAAUCAUGCGUGUUAGUUUUAGGCUGAAGUAAUUUAGGGUGACCAGACGUCCUCUUUUUCCCGGACAUGUCCUACUUUUAAGACCUAAAAAAAUGUCCGAGGGGAAUUUCAAAAUCGUCCGGGAUUUUGUUGGACUGCCUCAAACAUAAUACAUGUACAGUACAUUGUCAAUAGAAUUGCCACUCCGUUCCAUUUCACUCAAUUCUAGGUUUUUCUGUAUCGUUCGCAAAUAAGUCACGCCCUCCAACUCAAAUCUAGUCACUUUGCUGCGAAGUAGGGUGGGCUGGCCAGUCUACACCAAGUGUUUACAAGCGAUGCCUAAACAAAAAUGCACGUUCACGGAGGGGUUGAAUAAAAAAAUUCCCGUGCUUUCGCCAGGGUUGUGAUCCUUAUGAAGACAAACUCAGUACUUCUAGCGAACAGAAUUGAGGUGGUACAACUUAACUGGUUUAUAGUAGUACAAAGGAGUCUUAGGGCAUAAGCAUAGGUGGCGCUGUCCAACUUAUCGUCAGAGUAAAAAAAAAAAAAAACAUGCUUGACAUGCAAGACAGGCACUUACGUGUCUGUGGCAAAUAAUGGU